rnacentral:rRNA from 1 species
GGGUCAGUAGGUUGGUCGUGCCACCGGUACGUACUGGUCUCACUGGUUCCUCCUUCCUGAAGAACCGUAAUGCCAUUAAUUUGGUGUUGCGGGGAAACAGGACUGUUACUUUGAAAAAAUUAGAGUGUUUAAAGCAAGCUAACGCUUGAAUACGUUAGCGUGGAAUAAUGAAAUAGGACGAUCGAUCCUAUUUUGUUGGUCUCUAGGAUUGACGUA